GAUGAACGCUGGCGGCGUGCCUAACACAUGCAAGUCGAACGGAGUUCUUAAGGAAUGCGGCUUCGGUCAAAUGACUUUUGAACUUAGUGGCGGACGGGUGAGUAACGCGUGAGCAACCUGCCUUUCAGAGGGGGAUAACAUUUGGAAACAGAUGCUAAUACCGCAUAAGAUUACAGUACCGCAUGAUACAGUGAUCAAAGGAGCAAUCCGCUGAAAGAUGGGCUCGCGUCCGAUUAGAUAGUUGGUGAGGUAACGGCUCACCAAGUCGACGAUCGGUAGCCGGACUGAGAGGUUGAACGGCCACAUUGGGACUGAGACACGGCCCAGACUCCUACGGGAGGCAGCAGUGGGGAAUAUUGCACAAUGGGCGAAAGCCUGAUGCAGCAACGCCGCGUGAGGGAAGACGGUUUUCGGAUUGUAAACCUCUGUUUUCGGUGACGAACAAAUGACGGUAACC
rnacentral:rRNA from 1 species